rnacentral:rRNA from 1 species
AUGAACGCUGGCGGCGUGCCUAAUACAUGCAAGUCGAGCGAACAGAUGAGGAGCUUGCUCCUCUGACGUUAGCGGCGGACGGGUGAGUAACACGUGGAUAACCUACCUAUAAGACUGGGAUAACUUCGGGAAACCGGAGCUAAUACCGGAUAAUAUAUUGAACCGCAUGGUUCAAUAGUGAAAGACGGUUUUGCUGUCACUUAUAGAUGGAUCCGCGCCGCAUUAGCUAGUUGGUAAGGUAACGGCUUACCAAGGCAACGAUGCGUAGCCGACCUGAGAGGGUGAUCGGCCACACUGGAACUGAGACACGGUCCAGACUCCUACGGGAGGCAGCAGUAGGGAAUCUUCCGCAAUGGGCGAAAGCCUGACGGAGCAACGCCACGUGAGUGAUGAAGGUCUUCGGAUCGUAAAACUCUGUUAUUAGGGAAGAACAAAUGUGUAAGUAACUAUGCACGUCUUGACGGUACCUAAUCAGAAAGCCACGGCUAACUACGUG